GUGCAGCAGGCGAGAAUUUUCACAAUGGGGGAAACCCUGAUGGAGCGACGCCGCGUGGAGGAUGAAGGCGUUUUCGUCGUAAACUCCUGUCAUGCGAGAACAAGAAAGUGAUAGUAUCGCAAGAGGAAGAGGCGGCUAACUCUGUGCCAGCAGCCGCGGUAAUACAGAGGCCUCAAGCGUUGUUCGGAUUCAUUGGGCGUAAAGGGUGCGUAGGUGGCAUGGUAAGUUGAAGGUGAAAUCUCGGAGCUCAACUCCGAAACUGCCUUCAAUACUGCUGUGCUCGAGGACUGUAGAGGAGAAUGGAAUUCACGGUGUAGCAGUGAAAUGCGUAGAUAUCGUGAGGAAGACCAGUGGCGAAGGCGAUUCUCUGGGCAGUUCCUGACACUGAGGCACGAAGGCUAGGGGAGC
rnacentral:rRNA from 1 species